UUCCUCGGCCAUGGUGUAUGAAGCAUUGUAGGUACGAAAUACUUUAGCUGAAAGUCCAUCCAUAAGGCUAGUCAGAUAUUUGUUAAGACUGUUUGUACUGAGACGGUCGAAAAUUAAAUCACCCUCUUUUUUGGGAGGACGUUUAAAGAUCUUUAGAUUUUUAAAAACUUGGGGAUCAACUUCAACCUCGUUGUAGUAACGAAUAGAAUCUUUACCAAGAAAAUCGAAAACGACUGUUCGUGGUGGCUUCAGUGUAACAUGUUCAUAUCGCAGUGAACAACAACCAACAGUAUCCGCCUCGUCUUCACCCUUUUCAUUUCCUGCUCUUAAAGCAAAAACAUCAAUUAAAUACAUGGCAGUUCCUCUUUGACGCUCAACCGUUAACUCACUUUUCAAAUCUU